UGGGGAAUAUUGGACAAUGGGCGAAAGCCUGAUCCAGCAAUGCCGCGUGUGUGAAGAAGGCCUUCGGGUUGUAAAGCACUUUCAGUAGGGAAGAAAAGUUAUAGGCUAAUAACCUAUAGCCCUGACGUUACCUACAGAAGAAGCACUGGCUAACUCUGUGCCAGCAGCCGCGGUAAUACAGAGAGUGCGAGCGUUAAUCGGAAUCACUGGGCGUAAAGCGCGCGUAGGUGGAUUCUUAAGUCGAAUGUGAAAGCCCCGGGCUCAACCUGGGAACUGCAUUCGAUACUGGGUUUCUAGAGUAUGAUAGAGGGAAGUGGAAUUUCCGGUGUAGCGGUGAAAUGCGUAGAUAUCGGAAGGAACACCAGUGGCGAAGGCGACUUCCUGGAUCAAUACUGACACUGAGGUGCGAAAGCGUGGGUAGCAAACAGG
rnacentral:rRNA from 1 species